rnacentral:lncRNA from 1 species
AACAUCAUCUCUUCAUACAUAUGCUUGUUCUAGAGUUUAAGUGAACAGUUGUGUACAACAAAUGUUCUUGUCUUCCUUUAGUAUUAUUUCAAAUCAUUUGAUAUGUAAGUACAAUAUUAGGUAAUAAUUUAUAUCAUUUUGGAAAUGUGCUAUCUUUCCAACUAGACUUGAAAAUAUUGGUAAAAUCUUUAUUAAGGGCCUGCAUGUUUUUGGAACUCAAUAAAUGUUACUUCUGUUUCCUGCUUUAAAGAUUUUAUAUCAUGCUAAUGUUAGGAGGCCAUAGCAAAAAUAC